UACGGAGGGUGCAAGCGUUAUCCGGAUUCACUGGGUUUAAAGGGUGCGUAGGUGGGCAGUUAAGUCAGUGGUGAAAUCUCCGGGCUUAACCCGGAAACUGCCAUUGAUACUAUCAGUCUUGAAUACCGUGGAGGUAAGCGGAAUAUGUCAUGUAGCGGUGAAAUGCUUAGAUAUGACAUAGAACACCAAUUGCGAAGGCAGCUUACUACCCGCAUAUUGACACUGAGGCACGAAAGCGUGGGGAUCAAACAGG
rnacentral:rRNA from 1 species